rnacentral:rRNA from 1 species
AUUGAACGCUGGCGGCAGGCUUAACACAUGCAAGUCGAGCGGGGUGAUGGUGCUUGCACUAUCACUUAGCGGCGGACGGGUGAGUAAUGCUUAGGAAUCUGCCUAUUAGUGGGGGACAACAUCUCGAAAGGGAUGCUAAUACCGCAUACGUCCUACGGGAGAAAGCAGGGGAUCACUUGUGACCUUGCGCUAAUAGAUGAGCCUAAGUCGGAUUAGCUAGUUGGUGGGGUAAAGGCCUACCAAGGCGACGAGCUGUAGCGGGUCUGAGAGGAUGAUCCGCCACACUGGGACUGAGACACGGCCCAGACUCCUACGGGAGGCAGCAGUGGGGAAUAUUGGACAAUGGGGGGAACCCUGAUCCAGCCAUGCCGCGUGUGUGAAGAAGGCCUUAUGGUUGUAAAGCACUUUAAGCGAGGAGGAGGCUCUUUUGGUUAAUACCCAAGAUGAGUGGACGUUACCCGCAGAAUAAGCACCGGCUAACUCUGUGCCAGCCGCCGCGGUAA